rnacentral:pre_miRNA from 1 species
UAUUUAGCAGAACACUUUGCACAUUCUAAGUAUUUAGCAGAACACUUUGCUUUGCACAUUCUAAGUAUUUUGUUCUGCUAAAUACUUAGAAUGUGCAAAGUGUUUUGCUUAGA